rnacentral:tRNA from 1 species
AAAAAUUUAGUUAAUUUAUAACAUUAGUUUGUCAAACUAAAAUAAUCAAUUGAUAAUUUUUA